CUGUGUAAAAAUCUGUCAUUAUUCUCAAUAGUAAUAUUCAUAAACUAGGACCUGGUAUACAGUAGCUGCAAACAGCAGCCUCCGUGGUAGUGUAUGCAACCUGUUGCUUAUAUGGGCUGCUCUAAGGGACUUUGGAAACAGAA
rnacentral:snoRNA from 1 species